rnacentral:miRNA from 1 species
GGCAUAAGGAGAUAGCUCUCGUGUGCGGGCGAUUAAGUGGCACGAAUGACAAAAGUCGUUUGUAAAUCGCCCGCACACGAGAGCUAUCUCCUUACGCC